rnacentral:rRNA from 1 species
UAGGGAAUCUUCCGCAAUGGGCGAAAGCCUGACGGAGCAACGCCGCGUGAGUGAUGAAGGUCUUCGGAUCGUAAAACUCUGUUAUUAGGGAAGAACAAAUGUGUAAGUAACUAUGCAGGUCUUGAUGGUACCUAAUCAGAAAGACACGGCAAACUACGUGCCAGCAGCCGCGGUAAUACGGAGGUGGCAAGCGUUAUCCGGAAUUAUUGGGCGCAAAGCGCGCGGAGGCGGUUUUUUAAGUCUGAUGUGAAAGCCCACGGCUCAACCGUGGAAGGUCAUUGGAAACUGGAAAACCUGAGUGCAGAAGAGGAAAGUGGAAUUCCAUGUGUGGCGGUGAAAUGCGCAGAGAUAUGGAGAAACCCCAGUAGCGAAGGCGACUUUCUUGUCUGUAACUGACGCUGAUGUGCGAAAGCGUGGGGAUCAAACAGG